CCUACGGGAGGCAGCAGUGAGGAAUAUUGGUCAAUGGGCGUAAGCCUGAACCAGCCAAGUCGCGUGAGGGAUGAAGGGUCUAUGGAUCGUAAACCUCUUUUAUAAGGGAAUAAAGUGUGGGACGUGUCCUAUUUUGUAUGUACCUUAUGAAUAAGGAUCGGCUAACUCCGUGCCAGCAGCCGCGGUAAUACGGAGGAUCCGAGCGUUAUCCGGAUUUAUUGGGUUUAAAGGGUACGUAGGCGGCCUUUUAAGUCAGCGGUGAAAGUCUCUGGCUCAACCAUAGAAGUGCCGUUGAAACUGGGAGGCUAGAGUAUGUUAGAGGCAGGCAGAAUGCGAGGUGUAGCGGUGAAAUGCUUAGAUAUCACGCAGAACACCGAUUGCGAAGGCAGCCUGCCAAGCAAUGACUGACGCUGAUGCACGAAAGCGUGGGGAUCAAACAGGAUUAGAUACCCCUGUAGUC
rnacentral:rRNA from 1 species